AAACCAUUGUGAGGACAUUUCCUCAAAAGAUCCUUGAACUUUUCAUGAGCUUCGAAGAGUGUCUUUGAAUCACCUUGCCCAAAAGCAGAAAUUUCUUGUCUCAGUUU